rnacentral:rRNA from 1 species
UACGGGGGGAGCAAGCGUUGUUCGGAUUUACUGGGCGUAAAGGGCGCGUAGGCGGCCACCGCAAGUCGACUGUGAAAUCUCCGGGCUUAACCCGGAAAGGUCAGCCGAUACUGCGGGGCUAGAGUGCAGAAGGGGCAACUGGAAUUCUCGGUGUAGCGGUGAAAUGCGUAGAUAUCGAGAGGAACACCUGCGGCGAAGGCGGGUUGCUGGGCUGACACUGACGCUGAGACGCGAAAGCUAGGGGAGCAAACGGG